rnacentral:rRNA from 1 species
AUUGAACGCUGGCGGCAGGCCUAACACAUGCAAGUCGGACGGUAACAGGAAGCAGCUUGCUGCUUUGCUGACGAGUGGCGGACGGGUGAGUAAUGUCUGGGAAACUGCCUGAUGGAGGGGGAUAACUACUGGAAACGGUAGCUAAUACCGCAUAACGUCGCAAGACCAAAGAGGGGGACCUUAGGGCCUCUUGCCAUCAGAUGUGCCCAGAUGGGAUUAGCUUGUUGGUGGGGUAACGGCUCACCAAGGCGACGAUCCCUAGCUGGUCUGAGAGGAUGACCAGCCACGCUGGAACUGAGACACGGUCCAGACUCCUACGGGAGGCAGCAGUGGGGAAUAUUGCACAAUGGGCGCAAGCCUGAUGCAGCCAUGCCGCGUGUAUGAAGAAGGCCUUCGGGUUGUAAAGUACUUUCAGCGGGGAGGAAGGGGAGAAGGUUAAUAACCUUUUUCAUUGACGUUACCCGCAGAAGAAGCACCGGCUAACUCCGUGCCAGCCGCCGCAGUAA